rnacentral:rRNA from 1 species
GACGUAGGGCGCGAGCGUUGUCCGGAUUUAUUGGGCGUAAAGAGCUCGUAGGCGGCUUGUUGCGUCGACUGUGAAAACCCGCGGCUUAACUGCGGGCUUGCAGUUGAUACGGGCAGGCUAGAGUUCGGUAGGGGAGACUGGAAUUCCUGGUGUAGCGGUGAAAUGCGCAGAUAUCAGGAGGAACACCGGUGGCGAAGGCGGGUCUCUGGGCCGAUACUGACGCUGAGGAGCGAAGGCGUGGGGAGCGAACAGG